rnacentral:ncRNA from 1 species
CACAACCGGAGUUCUCCGAAAAUAAAGACACAUCGCCCAGGUCAGGGCA